rnacentral:rRNA from 1 species
GACGAACGCUGGCGGCGCGCUUAACACAUGCAAGUCGAACGGAAAGGCCUGCUUUCCCUUGUGGAUUGCGGGUACUCGAGUGGCGAACGGGUGAGUAACACGUGAGUGAUCUGCCCCCAACUUGGGUAUAAGCCUGGGAAACUGGGUCUAAUUCCCGAUAGGACUGCAGGGUGGUGCCUGUGGUGGAAAACGAUUUUCUAGUGGUUGGGGAUGAGUUCGCGGCCUAUCAGCUUGUUGGUGGGGUAAUGGCCUACCAAGGCGGCGACGGGUAGCCGGCCUGAGAGGGUGGACGGCCACAUUGGGACUGAGAUACGGCCCAGACUCCUACGGGAGGCAGCAGUGGGGAAUAUUACACAAUGGGCGGAAGCCUGAUGCAGCGACGCCGCGUGGGGGAUGACGGCCUUCGGGUUGUAAACUCCUUUCGACCGCGAGGAAGCCACCUGGUUGGAAGGGUGGUGACGGUAGUGGUAGAAGAAGCACCGGCUAACUACGUG